rnacentral:lncRNA from 1 species
CCAGCACAAGUGAAGGCCCAAAAUUGUCUGGCUUUACACCGAUGAGCGACCCACAUAGCUCUGCGCCACUACGCACGCACGAGCAGGACUCAAGGACGAGCUAGUCGCAGCCUCAACGCUCGCGCGGUCGCGCGGCGCUGCGCUCGGCCGAUCCCGUGCUGUCGGCCGUCAUCCCAUCCCAUCCCCCCGUCCCGUCGCCGCUCGAUAACCGGGUCCCUGGCUGCUAGCUUCAGUCGCCACCCGCCAUCUGCCGCUGGCUGUCCUCCUUGGGCCUCCCUACUCCCCAGCAAACAGCACCCUUGAGGCCCUAAACUGAAUUCAUGAGAUGAUUAUGAGGCUCUGACCUUGAUGCAGGUAUUUAAAGAAGAGUUUCCUCAGUAUUUGUUCGAUUCGCUUCAUUGAUUUCACCUGUAGCGAUGGAAUAGAGAUUGAUUUGAUAAAAAAAUCAUUGUUACUGUCUAUGUUCAGUAAUGUGCUGAAUAUGCUGCUUGUGUGGGUAAUGAAACUUUUCUUUUGCGGGGAUGUGUGGAUAGACAAAGGGAAAAGUUCGUUCAAUUACAUGAGUUGGCACAGUUCACCUUCGCUGUAACAGUUUGUUGUACGGGUUGUAUGAGUGUAUGCAUUGUGUAUGUUAGUAUUUAAGUAUGGAUGAUUUAAUCUGAAUCAGUAUGUGUGGAAACAUGCGUAUUUUUUUGUAAACAUGUGUAAUGGGUUCAAAAAAAUCAAAUUCAUUUUGUAGAAAUAGAAGAUGAAGAGAUCUUUUCUAGUGCCUGAAACGUGGGUAUCUACACCUAUCAGUUCAGCUCGAGGAACCAAGCGUAUCCCGUACCAUUAUUUGUUGUUUCCUUUCAUUUUUUUAUUUUGUUGUAUCAUUAAGGGGUUUAUAUUAAGAAAUUAUUGCGCAAUUGAAUCAUAUUUUGAAUGUUUUCACAUGGGGUAUUUUUUAUAGGUAGUUACACACAUAUGGCUAAGUUUUUCCCUCAUCCUAAAAGUUACUUUAUGCCCGGGGCUUGCUUGAAUCCUCGCUCCGUCACUGUUGGUUAGCCAGACUCAUGCAUAAGCAUUAAGUCUGUAGUUCAAAACCCAGCUUGUGCGAUGCAAUUUUUUUGCGCUUUUUACGUCCGACAGCUCGGUUAGUUCAACUUAAAAUGGGCCAGCCGGGUUAAGCGCGCCCUGUACGAAGGGAUGUGUGUUUGCCUAAGAAUGUGGUGAAUAGGAGCUCUCCGGGAUGGACUAUCUAUUUUUUCAAACUUCACACCAGUGUACAUGCUAAUCUGAUGGGUAUAGGCCUAACUAUUUUUUGUGUUUUUUUCCUAAACAUAUCAGGCUGGGCCUCAAUAGUGCACGCAUCUAUGCAUGGGAAGCACAUCCGUCUCAGAAACUCCUUCCUUGAAGCUUAUAUUCAUAGCAUAUCAAUUGAGUUGAUUCCGCAAAGAAAAAACAAUUGAGUUGAAUAUGCCAGGAAUUUAUGUGCUGUAGGAUACAUAUGUUUGGCCAGAUUGAAUUAGGAUACUUUUGACUUGCAAGGAAUUUAUGUUCAGUACUGAUAAAUAUUGAAAUAGAAAAAC